UUCUCAUCAGGAUUUAACAUGCAACUAACUAAAUUGGAUAAAUUACAAAAGUAGAACCACGCUAAAGUAAAUAGAAAAUAUAAUAUCUGCUUUUCAUGAGGGCCGUGUACUAAGCUAAUAUAACAAUAUAUACAAGGAAAGUUAAAAUAAUUUGGCACAGCCCGAUCGGAAAUUUAUCAAGUUAUUUGCUUGCCGUAGCCCAAUCGGAAGACUGUUCCACAGCACCGCACCACUAUAGCUAUUCUUGAGAUAGUUUGUGCGGGGCUUGGGAACAGCUAGUUUGUUCUCAGUGUUUCUCAGCGAAUAAGGAUUAACACUGUCACGGUUUACAAACUUUCCAGCCAAGUUUCUCAAUUAAUGUAUUGAAAUAGGCCACGGUGCACGAUUCAACAAAACCUACAUUAUUUUGGUGGCGCAGGCAUCAGAGCAAGAGUCUUUCACCUCUGAGUUCGUGGGUUUGAUUCUCGCUACGGACUCAUGUGUAAAGAGUCAGUCAACGCUCUGUCGAAAGUCGUGGGUUUUCUCUGGGCGCUCCGGUUUCCUCCCACAGGGAAAGUUGACAGGGUGGGUUAGGAUAAACAUAGUUAGGAAAGUAAUAUCACAAUUGUUAUAAAGAUAAUUAGUCUAGGCUAUAUGUAGGUAAUACAAGUAAGCAGAAUACUUGAUGUAAUCUCUUACUGAAAAGCCCCGUAGGGGAGUACGAGAUAUUCUCUACAAUGUACGUAUGACUUCUGUUUAACUGGCAUUUGAUUGUACUUUGGUUUAUUAAGCCUAGUGGUUAUUUUACAUCCCAGGGCCUUGGUG